AUGGUCAUCACUCUAUGGUUGAUCUGGUACGCUCAUCGGAAGGCUAUAUAUGAAUCAAUUUUCCAAAGCCCACAGCAAACUGUCAACUUUGUUAACAACUAUAUCAGCGAUCUCGGCCUUAUUACCGCACAGGAGUAUCAUCCAGCUCCUACAUCACCCGCCCAAGAAAGGCCAUUGCGAUGGCUUCGACCGCCGGCUGGCAACGUUAAGAUCAACGUAGAUGGGGCGCUGGCAAGGCGAAGCAGAGGAGGAGCAGUAGCGGUUCUAUGCCGAGACCAGGACGGUGUCUACUUGGGAUCGGCGGCGGUGGUUUUUCACCACACGCGGGAUCCCCUUCUUCUGGAGACAUAUGCUUGUCAGGAGGCACUAGCACUCGCCGACGACCUUGGAGUAAGAAACAUCUAUGUGGCUUCGGAUUCCUAGGAGGUGGUUAACGACAUUAACAGGGGCACCGGAGGCCCAAAUGCAUCCAUUGUGCAUGAAAUACUGAGUCAUUGUAAUAAUUUUAGCUCUUGCUCUUUUGUUCAUGAGCGAAGGAACUUCAACUUCGAGACUCAUAAUCUCGCUAAAUAUGCUUGUAAGCUAGAUAUAGGACGUCAUGUUUGGUUGGGCACACUCAUGACCCAACAUCUGUACCUAUGA
rnacentral:rRNA from 1 species